GAGGGUAUAGCUCAGUGGUAGAGCACAUGCUUAGCAUGCAUGAGGUCCUGGGUUCAAUCCCCGGUACCUCCA
rnacentral:tRNA from 1 species